rnacentral:rRNA from 2 species
ACUUAAAUUGAAGAGUUUGAUCAUGGCUCAGAUUGAACGCUGGCGGCAGGCCUAACACAUGCAAGUCGAGCGGUAGCACAGAGAGCUUGCUCUCGGGUGACGAGCGGCG